UACGGGGGGGGCAAGCGUUGUUCGGAAUUACUGGGCGUAAAGCGCGCGUAGGUGGUUUGUUAAGUUGGAUGUGAAAUCCCCGGGCUCAACCUGGGAACUGCAUUCAAAACUGACAAGCUAGAGUAUGGUAGAGGGUGGUGGAAUUUCCUGUGUAGCGGUGAAAUGCGUAGAUAUAGGAAGGAACACCAGUGGCGAAGGCGACCACCUGGACUGAUACUGACACUGAGGUGCGAAAGCGUGGGGAGCAAACAGG
rnacentral:rRNA from 1 species